rnacentral:rRNA from 1 species
GAAUAAGCAUCGGCUAACUCCGUGCCAGCAGCCGCGGUAAUACGGAGGAUGCAAGCGUUAUCCGGAUUCAUUGGGUUUAAAGGGUGCGUAGGCGGACUAUUAAGUCAGUGGUGAAAUCCUGCAGCUUAACUGCAGAACUGCCAUUGAUACUGAUGGUCUUGAGUUUGGUUAAGGUAGGCGGAAUGUGUAAUGUAGCGGUGAAAUGCUUAGAUAUUACACAGAACACCGAUUGCGAAGGCAGCUUACUAAACUGCAACUGACGCUGAUGCACGAAAGCGUGGGGAUCGAACAGGAUUAGAUACCCUGGUAGUCCACGCCGUAAACGAUGAUCACUCGCUGUAUGCGAUACACCGUAUGCGGCCAAGCGAAAGCAUUAAGUGAUCCACCUGGGGAGUACGAUCGCAAGGUUGAAACUCAAAGGAAUUGACGGGGGCCCGCACAAGCGGAGGAACAUGUGGUUUAAUUCGAUGAUACGCGAGGAACCUUACCUGGGCUAGAACGCCGGACGCAUGGAGGGGAAACCCUUCAGCCCGCAAGGGCGGCCGGCGAGGUGCUGCAUGGUUGUCGUCAGCUCGUGCCGUGAGGUGUCGGGUUAAGUCCCAUAACGAGCGCAACCCUUAUCGUUAGUUGCCAGCGGGUCAAGCCGGGGACUCUAGCGAGACUGCCACCGUAAGGUGAGAGGAAGGUGGGGAUGACGUCAAAUCAGCACGGCCCUUAUGUCCAGGGCUACACACGUGUUACAAUGGCCAGUACAAAGGGCAGCUACCAGGCAACUGGAUGCUAAUCUCAAAAGCUGGUCUCAGUUCGGAUCGAAGUCUGCAACCCGACUUCGUGAAGCUGGAUUCGCUAGUAAUCGCGCAUCAGCCAUGGCGCGGUGAAUACGUUCCCGGGCCUUGUACACACCGCCCGUCAAGCCAUGGAAGCCGGGGGUGCCUGAAGUUCGUGACCGCAAGGAGCGACCUAGGGCAAAACUGGUAACUGGGGCUAAGUCGUAACAAGGUAGCCGUACCGGAAGGUGUGGCUG